UACGUAGGGUGCAAGCGUUGUCCGGAAUUAUUGGGCGUAAAGAGCUUGUAGGCGGUUUGUCGCGUCUGCUGUGAAAAUCCAGGGCUUAACCCUGGACCUGCAGUGGGUACGGGCAGACUAGAGUGCGGUAGGGGAGAUCGGAAUUCCUGGUGUAGCGGUGAAAUGCGCAGAUAUCAGGAGGAACACCGGUGGCGAAGGCGGCUUUCUGGUCUGCACUUGACGCUGAGGCGCGAAAGCUAGGGUAGCAAACGGG
rnacentral:rRNA from 1 species